GUCCUUGCCUGGAAGGAGAGCAGCAGACAGCCUGUGAAGGGUGAACGAACCUAUUGCAAGGUGGGUGUUCAGGAGAGAGCCAGAUGUGGUAGAGGUAGAUGUGGGAAUAAAUCAUAAUAUUUAAUGAGUCAAUAAAAAUUAUUGCUUUCAGUACAAAAGCAUAGGAGGUAGGAAUAUGGACAAAAGCUUUCACUCUAUACACUUUGUUCUAUUAAUAUUAUUAUUAUAUUAUUAUUAUUUU